ACCUUAUAGACAGGGACAACUAAUUGGAAACGAUAGCUAAUACCUGAUAAGAAAGAAAACUCGCAUGAGAGAAGUUCGAAAUCGGAGCAAUCUGACACUNUAAGAUGGCUUUGCGGUGCAUUAGCUAGUUGGUAGGGUAAAAGCCUACCAAGGCGACGAUGCAUAGCCGACCUGAGAGGGUGAUCGGCCACAUUGGGACUGAGACACGGCCCAGACUCCUACGGGAGGCAGCAGGG
rnacentral:rRNA from 1 species